CGCGAGCGGCCGGCGAGACGGAUCCGGGUGGAAUCGCGAUGAAUUUGGGUAAAAAAGUGAGAGGGAGAACCAUGAAGAGGCAGCAACAGUAAUGAAAUAAGAGAGGAGAAGACGGUAUCAUCCGAGCGAGCGAGGCGGCAUAAAAAAUAACAGAUCGUAAUUGACGACACCAACAAAUUGAGAGGGAAAGGAGGGCUGGAAAAGGCAUCGAGUAUCAUGCACACUCUAAAAUUAGGGUAUCAGAUCAACAAUACCCAAAAAUUGAGAGAGAAGAAGGUUUAAGAAAGACAUUGGGCGACAAAAGAACCUUAAGAUCACCUCAUAAUAUAUGACAAAUCGAAACGGAAGGAGAUCUAGGACAAACAUCAUUUAUAAAAUAAUCCUACAAUCAACGUAUCAAAUCAACAAUUAUUGACCACCAACAAAAUUGAGAGAGGAGGAGAGGAGGAGGAGGCCUAGGAAGGCAUCGGGUGCCGGCAAAGAAAUCUUAAAGUCAACAGUAGCUUGCAGUUCAUGCCAGUCAACUGCUUGGUGAGCGAUAAAGUAUUAAUUUUUACGAGGUAACGGUUUUGAGAUUAGAGUGUAGAAAAUGUAGAUAUAGAUUUGUGUAGAUUGUAGACUGUAGAUUGUAGACUAGAUUGUAGAUAUUAUAUCCACAUAUCUCAAGAAGAUAAUAAUUAUAAGCACAUAUCUGACACGGUCUAAUGAUCGACACAAAAUGUUGCUUAUUAACAAAUUGAUUAAAAUUGAGACACAAGCUUAUAAGAUCAAGAUGUAUUUUAUUCUUUUU